GAUGAACGCUGGCGGCGUGCCUAAUACAUGCAAGUCGAGCGAACAGACGCGAGUGCUUGCACUCUCUGACGUUAGCGGCGGGUGGGUGAGUAACACGUGGGUAACCUACCUAUAAGACUGGGCUAACUUCGGGAAACUGGCGCUAACAACGGAUAAUAUUUAGCUUCGCAUGAAGCAAUAGUGAAAGACGGUUCUGCUGUCACUUAGAGAAGGUCCCGCGGGGGAUUAGGUCUUUGGUGGGGUAACGGCUCACCAAGGCAACGAUCCGUAGCCGACCUGAGAGGGUGAUCGGCCACACUGGGACUGAGACACGGCCCAGACUCCUACGGGAGGCAGCAGUAGGGAAUCUUCCGCAAUGGGCGAAAGUCUGACGGAGCAAUGCCGCGUGAGUGAAGAAGGUUUUCGGAUCGUAAAACUCUGUUGUAAGGGAAGAACAAGUACGUGAGUAACUGAACGUACCUUGACGGUACCUUACCAGAAAGCCACGGCUAACUACGUG
rnacentral:rRNA from 1 species